rnacentral:lncRNA from 1 species
UUGACCAGGGUACUAUUACUGUUCUUGAGUAUGAAAUUAGGUUUCAUGCCUUGACUCGGCAAAUGUUGAUGAUUUUACUUGCGGAGGAAGAGUGAAUCAGGAGGUUUGCAAAGAGUUCAUUUUCCUCUCUACUUAGCUGACUACUGGGUCUACUUUUAGUAGGUGAUAUCAUGCUAUGAGUAUUAAACAGAUUCAUCAUUGUGACUAUGGAGGCAAUUCCAAAAAGGUUCUCAAAAAUGAUAGAUUCAAUGGUUCAUUAUCUUGGAGCAGGAACUUCUAAUGUAUGAGUCAUCAUUACCAGACUAUCAGGUCUAUUCAGGCGGCAUUGUAGACUUCUAAUGGUGGUUAUUCUUAGUCUAAUAGUUAGGGUAGCCAGAGUUUAAAAGAGAAGUCUAUGGGUUCUCAGGUUGUGGUGUACGUUCUAGUUUAUGCGAACCAUCUCAUCAUUCUAUGUCUGGAAGGGGAUGCAAUGACUGUAGAGAGUUGGGUCAUAUUUUUAUGUGGUACCUUUGAUUCGGGAAGAUAGGAACAUAAAAGGGUUCUCAAGUUAAGGCCCCUAAGACACCAAUACCACCAGCUAGAGAAGGUGCACAAAGUUGUAGAUGUGGUUCUCAAGUUUCUAGGGAUGAAGCACAGAUGGGCAUGAAUUGGUCUUAGAGGCACAUAAUCUUGGGGUGGACGUGGGCGUGUUCUACUUUUUUCGAAAGACUAGAGGCUGGGCUUCAUAUUCAGUUAUUGUAGAUAUUAUUUCACUUGUUACCAACCAGCUUUAGUGUUAUUCUAUUUAGUAUUUACGUAUUCUUAUGUGUCUGCC